rnacentral:rRNA from 1 species
CAGUGGGGAAUAUUGCACAAUGGGGGAAACCCUGAUGCAGCAACGCCGCGUGAGUGAUGACGGCCUUCGGGUUGUAAAACUCUGUCUUUGGGGACGAUAAUGACGGUACCCAAGGAGGAAGCCACGGCUAACUACGUGCAGCAGCCGCGGUAAUACGUAGGUGGCAAGCGUUGUCCGGAUUUACUGGGCGUAAAGGGAGCGUAGGUGGAUAUUUAAGUGGGAUGUGAAAUACUCGGGCUUAACCUGGGUGCUGCAUUCCAAACUGGAUAUCUAGAGUGCAGGAGAGGAAAGGAGAACUCCUAGUGUAGCGGUGAAAUGCGUAGAGAUUAGGAAGAAUACCAGUGGCGAAGGCGCCUUUCUGGACUGUAACUGACACUGAGGCUCGAAAGCGUGGGGAGCAAACAGGAUU